rnacentral:lncRNA from 1 species
AAAAGGUCCGAAAAAUGUGAAAGGAAAAUGUUUGUUUAACGUUGAAAGCAGUGCCGCUAUUAAAAUGGCGAAGUACCCCUCUUUCCAAAACUAUGCAGUUAUCAACAAACGGUUUUCUGCAGAUCCGGAUGAUGACCUCUUCGAAUAAACACUGUCCCCCGCUUCGAUUACCAGUAUUUUCAGUUCGUUGCGGAACAGCUAAGGUAUUCCCGGGAAAAGUGGAUGCUGUUGAAUCAGUCCGGUGGAUGUCAAGGAUUCAACCGAUUCAACGCACAACGGCCUCGAAAUGGAAGUGAUCAUUCCGGUUCCAAUACAUCACAUACUUGACCUGUUCUUUCCGGAGCAGUACAUCUGUGUCUGGACAUAAUAGCAGCAGAUAUUAAGACAGCGAAUUGAUCGAUCCGGAUAACGUGUUUUGGUUUUCGAACUACCUUGUGAUCGACUAAACGGAACACAGGACAGAAGAGGACUUCCAAUAAUAUAUAUUACAAUAAGUUGGUACGGAGUAUAAGAAUGCUUAUCAGCAUACGAGUCAGUUUAGGAACUGUUUUUGGAAGUACGCAGGUUUUAUAAAUACAGAACCGAGCACAGAUAAAGUAUUUAAUCCAUGAAAAAAGCUUAUUCUCUCAUAUAGACGUCGAGAGAAAAAA